GUGGAUCUUUUUUGUUUGCGUCCUUCCUUUUCCUCUUCUCCCGUUUCCUUUUGAGCUUAAGUCGCUUCUUCGUGAGCCAUUUCCUCUUUUUCGAAGGCUCUAUCUCAUGGGUCUCGAAUUUUGGCAUCCCGUCAUUAAGGACGAGGUUCACUGAUCCAUAGCUAACAUUCCUUAUAUUCCAUAAAUUCCCAGAUGGGUGAAAUGAGUGUGAAAUUUUGUUACAUGGAACAAGAGAAUACCUGCUUCAAAACGCGAAGAGAGAUGAUCAGGAACGAACUGAGGGUGAAUUGCAUUAGGGUUCCCCAAACUUUUUAGAAGGUUUCAAUUUGGUCCCCAACCUUUUCAUUGUCACAAGAAAAUGUCUAAUGUUUACAAUCAUAACAUUUUCAUUAAAUUUAUGGGUUAAAUAGGAUCAAAGUAUCCACACAAAUCAAAAAGUUACAUAGUAGGUAUAUGACGAUUGCAUUGUUAGUUCUGUAUAAUUUGGAAAAGGAAUCUAACCGAAACUAGGAGAAAAGAUUGAGGACACCCUCCACCGAACAACUUAGAGAAGCUACGAGAAUCAAAAAGAAAAAGUGAUGACCUUGACGACGGAGGGAGAGGGGCAGCAAAUGCCCUAGAAAACAACAAAUUAUGAAGAGAUAAAGAAGGCGGCCUUUGCAGCCUUCGAAGAAAGAGGAAAGAGCGUGCCAUUGCUUAUUACUAAAUGCAUGAGGAGGUGGAGUCAAUCAACAUCUAGUUCAGUUGUUCACCAUUUUUCCUGAAAAAUCAUUUGAAUACAAAUUAGUUUAACACACGUGUUACAAGAGAUAGCGAUGAAAUCCAAGAAGAAGAUUGGUGAAAAAUGCAUAGAUUUUGAAAAGGAAAAGCAACGAUAAUCAAACUUGGGUAAUAAGUGGCUAUUUGGUUCCGCUUCUACUUCUACUCUCAACAAUAGUCACUUUUAAUAGAGCAUUUGGCAAACAGGAAAAAUCUUGUGCUUAUGCUGCAGCGGGAAUGAUAAAUGAGAUUCUGAAGCCCAAAGCCAAAAGCUCGAAUUUGGUGCUUCUACUUCUGCAGCAGAGACAAUCUUUUAUUGAAGGGAUUUUUAGUACAAUGCUUCUUCUAAAAGCACUAUCCAAACAACAGUUCAUCGGACAACAAUACACCCUACAGUAGAGCCAAACAAGCCCUUGGUGCUUGUUUGUCCAAGCUUCUAGUAUGGGAUAAGAAUGGCUUUGCGAACCAAAAGCAAAUACAAGCUUCUAGCUGUAGUAAGAAGCUAAAAUGAAUUUUGAAAAAUCAAAAGUAAAAACUGUAAUUUGAAACUCCUACUUCGAAAUUCCGGAGGAGAUUGUUGAUUUUUCUCUUUUUUUUUAUUUUUUUCCCCUUAUUAUGAUGAGAGGGACAGUUUAUUAAUCCAAAAGCCGCAAAUGCAUUUAGAUGGUCCUAUUUAUUAAUCCAAACGGCAAAAUAAAUCCUAUUUUCCACAAGCUACACUAACAAAACGAUUCAAGUAGUCAAAAUUUUAAAACAAAAAAAAAAAACACUUUUUCUCUUCGGCAUCUCAACAAACACCUUUCCUGCGCACUACCCUAUAUUACAGCAAGCAACAUCCAUUUCGCGUCACAAGUAAAACACAAUAAUCCCUAACCCUAAGCUUCUGCCUGAACAGAGUUUCGGUUCGCUAAACAGCUUCCAUCUGAAGCAAAAGCAGAAGCUUUUCACCAAAGCUGCUUCUUUUAUGGCUCCAAAGCUAAUUUCCGCUUCCUGAUGCAGCAAAAAUCAACAGCAAAAGCAGAACCCAUUUCGAAAACCACCCAAAAGAAGCACUUCCUUAUGCAACUAAAUCGUGAAAAAAUUCCAAAAAAAUUUAAAAUAUAAGCGUUGAAUCCGAACCCUAAUCCAAAGGAGAGAUCGUCGGAGAUGAAGGGGGAGGGAAUGGAGAGAUUAAAGUUGCACUCCGGACGAGGGUUUGGGGAGAGCGGCGCCGAGAGGAACGAAGGGCUAAAAUUUUCUCUUUUUUUUUUGUUUUCAGAAGCGUAUAUACGAAUUCUUAUUUGAUAUUUAUAGAAUUUUAAUUUGGAGAAAAAUUGUAUGGAAAGCCCCUCAACUAUACGCAUUGCAUGAAAUGACACUACUUUUUAAGUUGAGAAAUCUUUUCAGAACGGAGCAUAAUUGAGGGGGUUUAUCCAUAAAUUUUACCUAAGAAGUUUGUUCCGAAAUAAAAAAGGUAAGGAUUAUUUUCCAAAUAUCAUAUAAUUUAGGGGUUAUCCGUAAAUUUACCACAUAAAUCUGGUAUAUUUGCAAUUUUCUCCCUAACAAAUACAGAUAUUAUAUAUCUCUAUAUAGCACUCUAAGGUGGAGUUGUGUGUAUCGCCCUUUGUGUUGACCGUUCACUAUUGCUUCUUCCUCCUCGUAACCUAUUUUUAGGGCUUUUUGGGGCGCGUCGAGGGCCACGGCGAAGGUCGCGUCCAUGGCGACGGAGCAACCCAAAGGUUCGAUCAUUCCCCCUCCCUAACCCCACCCACCCAAAUCUAGGGUUUUCGCUCGAUCCUCUUUCCUAUGGCCUUUUUUUUUAUUUCGCAUCAAAUUCCAACAAUUAGGGUUUGUAACUAGCCUCCGCUUCAAUUUCGUGUUGGAACUUUAGCCACUUGGUUUGGAAUCGAAAUUUAAUUUGGAUUUGAUUCGCAAUUCGAAUGAAUUUGAGUGAAAAAUGUGUUAGUUGGAACUUGGAAUGAUAUGUGGUUGAAUCAAAUACGAAUGGAAUUCAAAUUGGUUUUGAAUUCAGAAGUAUUCAUUGUAAUAUAAUUAGAUAUGGAUUGUUGCGUUUGAACUAAUUUGGAGUUGAAUUGAAUUCCACUGCGAAAUCGUUCCAAUUUACCUACUUUUUGCUCUCAAUUUCGCCCAAAUUCCAACAAUUAGGGUUCGUAAGUGGCCUCCGAUUUGAAUGUCGUGUUGGAUUUUAAUUUGGAUUUGAUUCGCAAUUCGAUUGAAUUUGAGUGAGUUCGAUUUGGGGUUGAAAUCGUUGGUCGGAAAUUGGAAUGAUAUGUGAUUGAAUCUAAUAUCAACAUAAUUCAACUGAUUUUGAAUUUAUUGGUAUUCAAUUUAAUUAAAUUAGAUAUGAAUUUUUGUGUUUAAACUAAUUUGGAGUUGCAUUGAAUAGUGAGAAAACUAGUAUGUCCAUUUUAAGAAGGGUUUUUUUUUAAAAAAAAAAAGGCUAUGCAUAUGUUGUAAUUAACAACAUCAAAAAGGCGAGAGCUCAAAUCCCAAUCAGUAUUUUUGUGCUGUUUCAUUUGCUCUCAAUCCCAACCUGAUCUGCAUAAUUUAUGCUGUUUGGGAACCACGUAAAAACAUUGUAAUGGAAAAAAAAAGAGGGUUUUUCAACACUGUGAACAAUUUUUUUAACAAAGAACUGCAUGGAUAUCUAAAAUAAAACGUUGAGAUACACUAUGUUUUCUCUAAAACCUUCUAUUUUGGGGUAAAAUAAAAAUUCACCUAUGAAGCACAGAUACUUCAAAUUUCAUGCCAUUUCUGUAUCAGACACAUAUUGGAUACCGAUACGCGCCCGAUAUGUGUCCGAUAUGGGAAUGAAGUACAGAUAAAAAAAAAUAUUGGAUAUAGCUCGGAUACGGGAGGGAUACGGGAGGAUAUAGGGGAUAUGGUCGGAUUCUUUUUUGGUCUAAAAUGACGGGAACUCGAAACUUUUCAAGACUGCCCACGUCCUGACCCAUUGUAAAUAAGGAAACGAGUGCGAAAAAUGUCAUUCUCUCUUCAAUUCGUCAUUUCUUCGAGAGGUUGAUCCGUUUAGAUUCAAGCAUAUUGUAACUGACCAGUACUCAAGGCGAUACCGCAGUGGCAGAGUAAUGUCUGAAUUCGUUUACGGUGGGUACGUGGUCAAGUUUCGGGGACGAAACUUCUUUUAAGGGGGAGAUAAUGUAAGGACUGAGAUUUUGGCAGUACAGUUAAACUCUCUGUUGACGAUGUUUCUGUGUGUAAUUUAAUUACAUAAGCACUUGUCAAGUUUCAGGAGAAAAUGAGCUAGAAUGGAGAAGUUACGCGACCAGGACCGAUGACUUAAAGUGAAUAGUAACUCCGGCUUUUCGGAUGAGCCAGUGAGUACAGAAGGGUUCUGGUGCGUAUUGGACUUCGAACAUAGGCCUCCAAUAGCUCGUUUCGAACAGCUCGACUAUUCUGGACCCAAUGGCACUGACAGAAUUGGGUUCUGAUGCACGAUUGUCGAGAAAAAGGGGUUUGAUUGAUUUCACAUAUAUUAAUGUAUGUGGUUUAUUGGUGGAAACAAAGAGGGUAGGUUCCGUCGCGUAUCGGAGACCAAAUCGGACACAACAAGAUGCUAGAUUCGAUGCCCCAGUCAUGCUGAAUGUUCUGGCGUGAUCCGUUCGGAAAUCCAACGGACGGAUCUCCGAGAAUUAGAAAAUGUUCGCUGAGGGGUCAAAUUGGCAAAAACGGAAAAAUCUGCGAAAGGUCUGGUAUUUUAUGUACUGUUUUGCGUGGUUUCGAACAUUGAGGUGCGGGCAUGCAAAGUGCAUGUGCUGUCAAGGCCUGGGUAAUAUAUAUUUAACUUUGAAGGCGUUUUCUGCAUUUUGUCCAUAGUGUAUAUACGGGCAGCUAGGGUUUUCAUGCAUAAACCCUAGCCCUAGCCCUAGUAUUAAAGUAAGUUCAAAAAAAUUCUUAUUAUGAGCUCAAAUUAGUUCGUGCUAGAAUAAACACGACAUGAGCUUGUCACAUCAAGUGGAUAAGCAAGAAGAACCUACACAACAACUACAACCUGGAUAUGACCAGGAAUUACUAAAGUGACACAAACACAAAGUAUUCUUUCUAUCGUACCGUAAACAAACACCACAUGUUCAAGCCUUAAAUCCGAUCGCAAGCCACAUUAAUGUCACGAGCACUCGCAGAAUUAUCAUGGCCACAGACACAACACUUCAGAUUAAUUUGACCCAAAAGAUUUAACAAACAAAUUUAAAAAUCAAGUGAAAAUGUACAUAAACCCUCUUCAGGCCUCAACCCUCAAUUUUAAUUUUUUUUUACUUUUUGUUUCCAUUUGCAUCCUCUCAACUUUCAUUCGUUUUGAUUUCAAUUGACGAAUUUGGUUAAAUAAAUAAAUCAACGAUUUCGCCACAUUUCACGUUUCCAACUACGUUUUUUUAUCCGAAGUGCGCAUUCCAUUAAUAACUAGUGAUCAAAAACUAAUGGAGCUAUCAAUUUUAAUAAAAUUUUUGAUCCACAAAAAAGAGAAGUUCAGAGGCCUAUUUCAAAAUGGACCAUAGUUGAGGGGGUCUCCAUCCAUGCACUUUUACCUAACAACUACCAAUAAAUAGAAUAGAUCAUGGCUAAUACAAGUAACAAAACAUAUCGCAUCAAAUCGAAUCGCAAAAGAGGAUCUCACGGAUCUGGAAAAGGGGGAAAUGAUCUGGGAAUGGAAAGGGAAAGGGAAAAGAGGAAGGGGGGAGAGGGAUCGGGAUCUGACCAUCGCCGUCCUUGUCGAACAAGCUGAAGGCCUCCUUGAACUCGGAGAUCUGGUCGUCGGUGAGCUGAUCUGCCAUGGAUCCUCGGAGAUCGAGCACACAAAGAGAGAGAGAGAGAGAGGGGGGAGAGAGAGAGAGAGAGAGGGGAAGGGGAUGAAGAAGAGAUCUGAGAGAGAGAGAGAGAGGGAGAGGCUCCGAGCGUUUUGCGGCUUCGGGUUCGAGAAUUUUAGGGUUGGAAUUAAUUUUUUUGGAAUUUUAGGCUAGGGGUUAUAAUUUUUAAUUUUUUUGUUUUUGUUUUUUUUAAGGUCAAUUUGCAUAAAAAAUUCACUAAUUUUACACUUUUGCAAAAAUGGAUCACCUUUUAUAAUUUUGCAUAUUUAAAUAUCCUUAUACCUUUUUCUCUCCCCCUUUUUUUUUUCUCUCGUUCUUUUUUUCUUUCUCUUCCCAGAGAGCGGCGGAGGCGAAGGCGGAGGCGGAGACGGUCCGCUUCGGUUUUGUUGAGCGCAUUCUUACCCUCGUCCGCGUACGCCUUUCUCGCCUCCGACCCCGCCGGCCGCGCUGCGAUUUCUUUUUUUUCCCAUCUCCGACCCUCCUCCACCGCCUCCGACGGCGACGCCUCUCCGCCAACAUCGGCCCCGCGGAGGUCGCUGCGUCGUCGCAGCCUCGGAGUGGGGGGUCUUUAGCGGCGUCGUCGCCAGCGCUAUGGCCGUUUGCGGAGAGGCACGACAAAAAAAAUUGUAGAAGAAGGAAGAAGAAAAAAAAUAAAGACAAAAAUUAUAUUAGAAGGAAGUCGCUUCUUCGUGAGCCAUUUCCUCUUUUUCGAAGGCUCUAUCUCAUGGGUCUCGAAUUUGGCAUCCCGUCAUUAAGGACGAGGUUCACUGAUCCAUAGCUAACAUUCCUUAUAUUCCAUAAAUUCCCAGAUGGGUGAAAUGAGUGUGAACUUUUGUUACAUGGAACAAGAGAAUACCUGCUGCAAAACGCGACGAGAGAUGAUGAGGAACGAACUGAGGGUGAAUUGCAUUAGGGUUCCCCCAAACUCUUUAG
rnacentral:lncRNA from 1 species